rnacentral:rRNA from 1 species
GACGAACGCUGGCGGCGUGCUUAACACAUGCAAGUCGAACGGAAAGGCCCUGCUUUUUUGGUGUGCUCGAGUGGCGAACGGGUGAGUAACACGUGAGUAACCUGCCCUUGACUUUGGGAUAACUUCAGGAAACUGGGGCUAAUUCCUGCUAGGAGCUCCUGCUUCAUGGUGGGGGUUGGAAAGUUUCGGCGGUUGGGGAUGGACUCGCGGCUUAUCAGCUUGUUGGUGGGGUAGUGGCUUACCAAGGCUUUGACGGGUAGCCGGCCUGAGAGGGUGACCGGGCACAGAGGGACUGGGAUACGGCCCAGACGCAUACGGGAGGCAGCAGUGGGGAAUAGUGCAAGAUGGGCGGAAGCCUGAUGCAGCAACGCCGCGUGCGGGAUGACGGCCUUCGGGUUGUAAACCGCUUUCGCCGGUGACGAAGAGUGAGUGACGGUAAUGGGUAAAGAAGCACCGGCUAACUACGUG